rnacentral:tRNA from 1 species
GUACCCGUGGCUCAGCUGGAUAGAGCGUUUGGCUACGGACCAGAAGGUCGGGGGUUCGAAUCCCUCCGGGUACGCCA